GAUGAACGCUGGCGGCGUGCCUAAUACAUGCAGGUCGAGCGAACAGACGAGGAGCUUGCUCCUCUGACGUCAGCGGCGGACGGGUGAGUAACACGUGGAUAACCUACCUAUAAGACUGGGAUAACUUCGGGAAACCGGAGCUAAUACCGGAUAAUAUAUUGAACCGCAUGGUUCAAUAGUGAAAGACGGUUUUGCUGUCACUUAUAGAUGGAUCCGCGCCGCAUUAGCUAGUUGGUAAGGUAACGGCUUACCAAGGCAACGAUGCGUAGCCGACCUGAGAGGGUGAUCGGCCACACUGGAACUGAGACACGGUCCAGACUCCUACGGGAGGCAGCAGUAGGGAAUCUUCCGCAAUGGGCGAAAGCCUGACGGAGCAACGCCGCGUGAGUGAUGAAGGUCUUCGGAUCGUAAAACUCUGUUAUUAGGGAAGAACAAAUGUGUAAGUAACUAUGCACGUCUUGACGGUACCUAAUCAGAAAGCCACGGCUAACUACGUG
rnacentral:rRNA from 1 species